rnacentral:rRNA from 1 species
GUUUGAUCAUGGCUCAGGACGAACGCUGGCGGCGUGCCUAAUACAUGCAAGUCGAGCGGACAGAAGGGAGCUUGCUCCCGGAUGUUAGCGGCGGACGGGUGAGUAACACGUGGGUAACCUGCCUGUAAGACUGGGAUAACUCCGGGAAACCGGAGCUAAUACCGGAUAGUUCCUUGAACCGCAUGGUUCAAGGAUGAAAGACGGUUUCGGCUGUCACUUACAGAUGGACCCGCGGCGCAUUAGCUAGUUGGUGAGGUAACGGCUCACCAAGGCGACGAUGCGUAGCCGACCUGAGAGGGUGAUCGGCCACACUGGGACUGAGACACGGCCCAGACUCCUACGGGAGGCAGCAGUAGGGAAUCUUCCGCAAUGGACGAAAGUCUGACGGAGCAACGCCGCGUGAGUGAUGAAGGUUUUCGGAUCGUAAAGCUCUGUUGUUAGGGAAGAACAAGUGCAAGAGUAACUGCUUGCACCUUGACGGUACCUAACCAGAAAGCCACGGCUAACUACGUGCCAGCAGCCGCGGUAAUACGUAGGUGGCAAGCGUUGUCCGGAAUUAUUGGGCGUAAAGGGCUCGCAGGCGGUUUCUUAAGUCUGAUGUGAAAGCCCCCGGCUCAACCGGGGAGGGUCAUUGGAAACUGGGAAACUUGAGUGCAGAAGAGGAGAGUGGAAUUCCACGUGUAGCGGUGAAAUGCGUAGAGAUGUGGAGGAACACCAGUGGCGAAGGCGACUCUCUGGUCUGUAACUGACGCUGAGGAGCGAAAGCGUGGGGAGCGAACAGGAUUAGAUACCCUGGUAGUCCACGCCGUAAACGAUGAGUGCUAAGUGUUAGGGGGUUUCCGCCCCUUAGUGCUGCAGCUAACGCAUUAAGCACUCCGCCUGGGGAGUACGGUCGCAAGACUGAAACUCAAAGGAAUUGACGGGGGCCCGCACAAGCGGUGGAGCAUGUGGUUUAAUUCGAAGCAACGCGAAGAACCUUACCAGGUCUUGACAUCCUCUGACAACCCUAGAGAUAGGGCUUUCCCUUCGGGGACAGAGUGACAGGUGGUGCAUGGUUGUCGUCAGCUCGUGUCGUGAGAUGUUGGGUUAAGUCCCGCAACGAGCGCAACCCUUGAUCUUAGUUGCCAGCAUUUAGUUGGGCACUCUAAGGUGACUGCCGGUGACAAACCGGAGGAAGGUGGGGAUGACGUCAAAUCAUCAUGCCCCUUAUGACCUGGGCUACACACGUGCUACAAUGGACAGAACAAAGGGCUGCGAGACCGCAAGGUUUAGCCAAUCCCACAAAUCUGUUCUCAGUUCGGAUCGCAGUCUGCAACUCGACUGCGUGAAGCUGGAAUCGCUAGUAAUCGCGGAUCAGCAUGCCGCGGUGGAAUACGUUUCCCGGGCCUUGUACACACCGCCCGUCACACCACGAGAGUUUGCAACACCCGAAGUCGGUGAGGUAACCUUUAUGGAGCCAGCCGCCGAAGGUGGGGCAGAUGAUUGGGGUGAAGUCUACAG